rnacentral:misc_RNA from 1 species
GAUGAAGAACGUAGCGAAAUGCGAUAAGUAAUGUGAAUUGCAGAAUUCAGUGAAUCAUCGAAUCUUUGAACUCACAUUGCGCCCGCCAGUAUUCUGGCGGGCAUGCCUGUUCGAGCGUCAUUUCAACCAUCAAGCCCCCGGCUUGUGUUGGGGACCUGCGGCUGCCGCAGGCCCUGAAAACCAGUGGCGGGCUCGCUAGUCACUCCGAGCGUAGUAAUACAUCUCGCUCAGGGCGUGCUGCGGGUUCCGGCCGUUAAAAAGCCUUAUUUACCCAAGGUUGACCUCGGAUCAGGUAGGAAGACCCGCUGAACUUAAGCAUAUCAAUAAGCGGAGGA